rnacentral:rRNA from 1 species
UACGUAGGGCGCAAGCGUUGUCCGGAAUUAUUGGGCGUAAAGAGCUCGUAGGCGGCUUGUCACGUCGGGUGUGAAAGCCCGGGGCUUAACCCCGGGUCUGCAUUCGAUACGGGCUAGCUAGAGUGUGGUAGGGGAGAUCGAAUUCCUGGGUGUAGCGGUGAAAUGCGCAGAUAUCAGGAGGAACACCGGUGGCGAAGGCGGAUCUCUGGGCCAUUACUGACGCUGAGGAGCGAAAGCGUGGGGAGCGAACAGG